GACGAACCGUGCGAACGUUGCUCGGAAUCACUGGGCGUAAAGCGCACGUAGGCGGCUUUCUAAGUCAGGGGUGAAAUCCUGGAGCUCAACUCCAGAACUGCCUUUGAUACUGGAAAGCUUGAGUCCGGGAGAGGUGAGUGGAACUGCGAGUGUAGAGGUGAAAUUCGUAGAUAUUCGCAAGAACACCAGUGGCGAAGGCGGCUCACUGGCCCGGUACUGACGCUGAGGUGCGAAAGCGUGGGGAGCAAACAGG
rnacentral:rRNA from 1 species